UAAUCCUUCAUAAAUCCUCGGCAGACUAGAUGAGAAAUGAUUACUUCAGUAUCUUCAAAUAGAAGAAUAUUUCUGCAGUCGUAGUAUGGCCAAUAUAUAUGCUUCGUCUUUGUUCUCAAAGCAUGGUUCUUAGCGGCAUCAACAAACCUAUGCACCUCAGGUAUAUAUGAUGGAUCUAGUCUUGAUAAGUUAUACAUCCAUAAGGACCUCUCCAUCAUGACCUGUUGAAAAGUUAGUAAAUUAAUUGAAAUAUUGUCUACGAAUAUUUGUUAUUAAAAAUAAAAGAAGACCUAACAAUUAAAUCAAAUUGAAAAAGGAAUCAUGGAAAUGGUGAGAGGAGAGGCAACAUCUUAAACAAGAGGGCACAAAAAUGCUUAUCGCGUAAUUAAAUCAAAUUUACAUAAAAAGUAACAUCCUAAACAAUAUAAUUUAAAAAACUAAAAAGAAAACUUACCUUUCUUAGCCACCUCCACCUCCUUCCAAGAAAUGAAGAUCAAAACCUCCACCCUUGUAUUUUGACCUGUUGAAAAGUUAGUAAAUUAAUUGAAAUAUUGUCUACGAAUAUUUGUUAUCAAAAAUAAAAGAACACCUAACAAUUAAAUCAAAUUGAAAAAGUAAAACAAGUAUCAAAAAUAAAGACAAAACCAUAAAUAUAUAUCUUUAUAUCACUAAAAUAAAUUUGACAAGGUACAAAAACACUGUUGAUUGAAACUAAAUAUAUUAUAUCACUAAAACAUUUGAGAAGGAAACAUGGAAAUGGUGAGAGGAGAGGCAACAUCUGAAGCAACCUCAUAUAUAAAAAAUGCUUAUCGCAUAAUUAAAUCAAAUUUACAUAAAAAAUAACAUCCUAAACCAUAUAAUUUAAAAAACUAAAAAGAAAACUUAUCUUUCUCUCCGAAGCAUGGAAACACCAUUCAUGGAAACUACUACAUAUAUAUUUCUUGGAUUCACAAAUUAGAGAAGUAAACAUAAAAAAGAAGAUAGG
rnacentral:lncRNA from 1 species